UACGUAGGGGGCAAGCGUUGUCCGGAAUUAUUGGGCGUAAAGAGCGUGUAGGCGGUCCGGUAAGUCAGCUGUGAAAGUCAAGGGCUCAACCCUUGAAAGCCGGUUGAUACUGUCGGGCUAGAGUCCGGAAGAGGCGAGUGGAAUUCCCGGUGUAGCGGUGAAAUGCGUAGAUAUCGUAAGGAAGACCGUGGCGAAGGCGGGUCUCUGGACAGUUCCUGACGCUGAGGCACGAAAGGUCAGGGGGAGCAAACGGG
rnacentral:rRNA from 1 species